rnacentral:rRNA from 1 species
UACGUAGGGUGCGAGCGUUGUCCGGAAUUAUUGGGCGUAAAGGGCUCGUAGGCGGUCUGUUGCGUCAGGAGUGAAAACUCGGGGCUUAACCCCGAGCCUGCUUCUGAUACGGGCAGACUAGAGGUAUGCAGGGGAGAACGGAAUUCCUGGUGUAGCGGUGAAAUGCGCAGAUAUCAGGAGGAACACCGGUGGCGAAGGCGGCAUCCUGGACCGGCACUGACGCUGAGGCGCGAAAGCCAGGGGAGCAAACGGG